GACGAACGCUGGCGGCGGGCUUAACACAUGCAAGUCGAACGGAAAGGCCCAUUUUGGGGUUCUCGAGAGGCGCACGGGGGUGUAACACGCGAGUAACCUGCCCUGGUCUUGGGGGUAACCUCCGGAAAAUGGGGCUAAUACCGGCAAGGAAUCCUUGCUGCAUGGUGGGGGUUGGUAAGCUUCGGCGGUUUUGGAUGGACCUAGGGCGGAUUAGCUAGUUGGUGGGGUAGAGGCCUACCAAGGCGUCGACGGGUAGCCGGUCUGAGAGGAUGACCGGGCACACUGGAACUGAGACACGGUACAGAGUCCUACGGGAGGCAGAAGUGGGGAAUAGUGGACGAUGGGCGAAAGCCUGAUCCAGGCAUGCCGCGUGUGUGAAGAAGGUCUUCGGAUUGUAAAGCAGUUUAAGUUGGGAGGAAGGGCAGUAAGUGAAUACCUUGCUGUGUUGACGUUACCAACAGAAUAAGCACCGGCUAACUUCGUG
rnacentral:rRNA from 1 species